rnacentral:rRNA from 1 species
UACGUAGGUGGCAAGCGUUGUCCGGAAUUAUUGGGCGUAAAGCGCGCGCAGGCGGCCUUUUAAGUCUGAUGUGAAAGCCCACGGCUCAACCGUGGAGGGUCAUUGGAAACUGGGGAACUUGAGUGCAGAAGAGAAAAGCGGAAUUCCACGUGUAGCGGUGAAAUGCGUAGAUAUCGGAAGGAACACCGGUGGCGAAAGCGGCGCGCUGGAUCCCUACUGACGCUGAGGCACGAAAGCCAGGGGAGCAAACGGG